rnacentral:rRNA from 1 species
UGCCAGCCGCCGCGGUAAGACGGAGGAUGCAAGCGUUAAUCGGAAUUACUGGGCGUAAAGCGCGCGUAGGCGGUUAUUUAAGUCAGAUGUGAAAGCCCCGGGCUCAACCUGGGAAUGGCCUCUGAUACUGGGUAACUAGAGUUUGGAAGAGGAGAGUAGAAUUUCAGGUGUAGCGGUGAAAUGCAUAGAGAUCUGAAGGAAUACCAGUGGCGAAGGCGCCCUACUAGGCCGACACUGACACUAAGGGACGAAAGCUAGGGGAGCAGACGGGAUUAGAUA